GUUAUGAGCCUCGUGAGCUACCAAACUGCUCUACUCCGCUCUGUAGGGCCGAAAACAGGUGGACGAAAAAGGUUGAAUAGAGGUUCCGUAGGAGCAAGUCAGAAAGGUUGAGAAAUAGAACCUUUUUUUCUACCCCAGGCUUUGCAACAUUUCGAAAUCGGGUAAGUAAUCUCAUAUGUUUGAACUGAGAGAGCUUCAUUUUCCAAUAGUGCCAGGACCUGUGUUCCAUAUCCAUUAUCUUUUCCUUGUCCUUCUUGUCAAAUAGAAAGCAAAUGGAUGCAAUGUAGAUGCUACAUAGUGGGUUCUCAUCCUUCAGAGACUACGUGUAAUAGGAGCAUCCGUUGACAAAAGGAUCACCCUAAGAUGAUCAACCUACUCUCUUGUCCUUUCCCACGUAGAUCGAAAAGGUUGAAUGUGCCGUAAUAAAAUUAAUUUCUUUUUUUUGAAUAAAUUUUUUUUGAUUCCAUAAGAAGCGACCCACUUUUUCAUCGGUUCUGGGGGAAGACCAAAGAUCUUGC
rnacentral:lncRNA from 1 species